GACUCCAUGGCCCAAUGGAUAAGGUACUAGUCUACGAAAUCGGGAAUCCUGGGUUCGAUCCCCAAUGGAGUUG
rnacentral:tRNA from 1 species